GGAUGUGAGGAUGAUCUGGCUGUGACAUCGGUCAGCCCAUUGAUGGCCAGGGUUGAUUCGGCUGAUCUGGCUGGCUAGGCGGGUGUCCCCUUCCUCCCUCACCACUCCAUGUGCGUCCCUCCUGAAGCUGCGCACUCGGUCCAAGAGGAUGACCUUCCCCUAUAGAGGAAGACCGUUCUUCAGUCAAGGGUAUACGAGUAGCUGCACUCCCCUGCUAGAACCUCCAAACAAGCUCUCAAGAACCUGUCACUUAGACUGACAUUUUCAUAAGAAGCCAAUAAUAGGAUGGAACUUUCUAGGUUGCAGCUAUUAGGCUAUGGCCGCUGCUGUCCUCC
ensembl:misc_RNA 7SK 7SK RNA